CUUGUAAAUUACUCUGUUAAAGAGCCGGGGAAGAGCAGAGCCUACAGCAUCUCCCUGAACAAGUUAGCACUCUGUGCGAUAAAGGGAAAAAAAUACCCAAAGAAACAAUUGCCACACAUUUUAAAGAAGAAAAAUGAGAGGACUUUAAGCGUUACACUUCGUAUAUCACAUAAAUUAUCCUCUAUUCUUUAAACAAACUGUGCACUGUAAUUUAAAGCCAACAUGCAGUCACCUAUUUUCCACUGCUGCUGAACUGGAUUACCACCUGCCUUGACUCCAUCCUUUGGAAGGCUGCCAGCAUUGUUACAAUUUAAUGCUAUAUCCCACUGUGUCAGGAAAGACAUGCCUCCCCAAUCUUGCUGUCAAACUAGUGCUUGUCAACAUCCCUUAAUUAUUGCUAUUAUUAGGAAUGAAGGUUAAAUACAUGUUCUUUGUGAAUGGUAAUUUCUAUUGUCUGGUUUAGUUUUAUUAGGUUCAGUUGUGCUACUAUGAAAUAAAGCUUUAAUUGAAAGAUGAUUUUAG
rnacentral:lncRNA from 1 species